CCUUGUAGAACCGUCAGGGGCCGCAGGCGGCCGGGUCUCUGGGCCGAUCCGGACCCACAGGUGGCACCUCUGAUCAGACUGCUCGGGGGACUCCAGGAUGCGGUAUCCCCAGAGCUCAUCGUAUGGACCUACUCUGCCCUUUACCUUGUGAGAUGGGAAGAAAAGAUGUUUUCCACAACCCAAAGCCUAUAUUCGAGGCCCCUUUGCGGUGCAUCGCUUGGCCAGCAACAACCCGGCCUUCGUUCCCGGGUUGCCUGGGAGGCUGACUUCGCAGAGAGUCCGGCGCUCUUGGUCACCAAGAAAGUGUUUCCCUAUGACUAAUGCUUAGGGAGACCUGGAGCCAGCAAAAACUAGACGGCCGGGUCUACAUAGCAGACUGUGAAAACAGAGAACAAAUGGGAGCUCUCGGGUCACCUGUCCCACAUGCAGCCCAGUCUAGAAUUACAAAAGUGCAGCUGAGGAGGAGCCCUGCUUGUAGCUUUCAAAGUUAGGAGGAAGACAGCACAAAGGUUGGGGUCUUCCCCCAGGACACCCUCUGUGCCCCUCGAAUUUGACAUCUGACAACACAGCAGCAGCGGAGUGAGAUCCGGUAGGGUGGGAUCGGAGAUGCCGGCCUGGGGGCCCUCACCCCACAGGCUCCACUGCUUGGAACCAUCCCACCCCCGUGCACCCCGCUAUGCACAGCUGGAGCCAAGGACUGCCUUUGUUCAUCUCUGCCUGUGCUCCAGAGAGUUCGGAG
rnacentral:lncRNA from 1 species